rnacentral:rRNA from 1 species
AGAGUUUGAUUCUGGCUCAGGACGAACGCUGGCGGCAUGCCUAACACAUGCAAGUCGAACGGAAGUAGAAAUACUUAGUGGCGAACGGGUGAGUAACACGUGAGCAACCUGCCUUAUACACAGGGAUAACAGUUGGAAACGACUGCUAAUACCGGAUAAGACCACACUAUGGCAUCAUAGAGGGGUCAAAACGAAUAAGCGGUAUAAGAUGGGCUCGCGUCCAAUUAGCUAGUUGGUGAGGUAACGGCCCACCAAGGCGACGAUUGGUAGCCGACUUGAGAGAGUGAUCGGCCACACUGGAACUGAGACACGGUCCAGACUCCUACGGGAGGCAGCAGUGGGGAAUAUUGGGCAAUGGAGGAAACUCUUUAACCCCCAGCAAUGCCGCGUGAGUGAUGAAGGUUCUUUGGAUUAGUAAAGCUCUUUGAGUUGGGGACGAAUAAAUGACCGGUAACCCAAAGAACAACGCCCCGGCUAACUAUGUGCCAGCCGCUGC